AGCCUUGAACUAUUGAGACC
rnacentral:siRNA from 1 species